rnacentral:rRNA from 1 species
GAUGAACGCUGGCGGCGUGCCUAACACAUGCAAGUCGAGCGAUCUUCUUCGGAAGAGAGCGGCGGACGGGUGAGUAACGCGUGGGUAACCUGCCCUGUACACACGGAUAACAUACCGAAAGGUAUGCUAAUACGAGAUAAUAUGCUUUUAUCGCAUGGUAGAAGUAUCAAAGCUUUUGUGGUACAGGAUGGACCCGCGUCUGAUUAGCUAGUUGGUAAGGUAACGGCUUACCAAGGCGACGAUCAGUAGCCGACCUGAGAGGGUGAUCGGCCACAUUGGAACUGAGACACGGUCCAAACUCCUACGGGAGGCAGCAGUGGGGAAUAUUGCACAAUGGGGGAAACCCUGAUGCAGCAACGCCGCGUGAGUGAUGACGGUCUUCGGAUUGUAAAGCUCUGUCUUUAGGGACGAUAAUGACGGUACCUAAGGAGGAAGCCACGGCUAACUACGUG